rnacentral:rRNA from 1 species
GAUGAACGCUGGCGGCGUGCCUAAUACAUGCAGGUCGAGCGAACAGAUAAGGAGCUUGCUCCUUUGACGUUAGCGGCGGACGGGUGAGUAACACGUGGGUAACCUACCUAUAAGACUGGGAUAACUUCGGGAAACCGGAGCUAAUACCGGAUAAUAUUUCGAACCGCAUGGUUCGAUAGUGAAAGAUGGUUUUGCUAUCACUUAUAGAUGGACCCGCGCCGUAUUAGCUAGUUGGUAAGGUAACGGCUUACCAAGGCGACGAUACGUAGCCGACCUGAGAGGGUGAUCGGCCACACUGGAACUGAGACACGGUCCAGACUCCUACGGGAGGCAGCAGUAGGGAAUCUUCCGCAAUGGGCGAAAGCCUGACGGAGCAACGCCGCGUGAGUGAUGAAGGUCUUCGGAUCGUAAAACUCUGUUAUUAGGGAAGAACAUACGUGUAAGUAACUGUGCACGUCUUGACGGUACCUAAUCAGAAAGCCACGGCCAACUACGUG